rnacentral:miRNA from 1 species
AAGCUGCCCUUUGAAGGGCUGU